GACGAACGCUGGCGGCGGGCUUAACACAUGCAAGUCGAACGGAAAGGCCCUGCGUUUGUGGGGUUCUCGAUUGGCGAACGGGUGAGUAACACGUGUGUAACCUGCUCUUGACUUUGGGAUAACUUCAGGAAACUGGGGCUAAUACCGUAUAGGAUCUCCUGCUGCAUGGUGGGGGUUGGAAAUUUUCGGCUGUUGGGGAUGGACUCGCGGCUUAUCAGCUUGUUGGUGGGGUAGUGGCUUACCAAGGCUUUGACGGGUAGCCGGCAUGAGAGGGUGAACGGCCACCUUGGGACUGAGAGACGGAGCAGACGGGUACGGGAGGCAGCAGUGGGGAAUAUUGCCCAACGGGAGGAAGCCUGAUGAAGAAGCGCCGCGUGCGGGAUGACGGUCUUCGGGUUGUAAACAGCUUUAGCCUGUGACGAAGCGUGAGUGACGGUACUGGGUAAAGAAGCACCGGCUAACUACGUG
rnacentral:rRNA from 1 species